AAAAAAUGAACUGUUUGGGUCGACGGUUGCAGAGUGUGCGUCCAGCUGCUGCAAUCUCCCCGACAUACAAACCUCUUGUGAACUGUUCUGUUUCUGGCGGGUGGAUGGGGCUGCUUUUCGAAAGUCUCCCCGUCUGUCAGCUUGGGCUUGUCCCCAGCCGUGGACAACCCGCCAAACACUUGCUUGAACCUUUGUCUUUUUGUAUAUUUUGUCUGAAACCUUCUGUAUGCACAAUACAAA
rnacentral:misc_RNA from 1 species